AUGACAAAUGUGUCGGAGAUUUUCAUCGGGGAGUUCACCUGCUGGUACCGGACCAAGGACUCGGACGACCCUAAGCCUGGCAUACCCGGGACUGUCAACCUCAUUUUAAAGGAAGAAUUUUACGAAUCAGAGAACUCUACACCGACAGAGGGCUCCACAGAGGAAUCAGGCAUUACUCCGUUUUGGAUCACGUCUGUUUUGACCGAGGAGACCACCACAGAAGAGAUGCCGGUCAUUUUGGACCUAGUUACUGCCCCCCUGGAAGAGAGUACGAGUGCAGGACCUUUGCCAAUGGAAGCCAAUGAGGAAACAGCCACUUCUUUUCCAGAGGGAGAUCCUGAAGACCCGGAGUCUAUGGACUGGUCGGACUUCCCCUGGGUUCGGACCGGACUCAUCGCUGGGGUCUUACUGGUCACUGCGGUGAUGCUGUGCAUUCUGGAGCUCUGCAUAAACUCUAGGGCAGUCGACAAGUCGGGACUAAACGUUUUUAACCACAAACUUUUAUUGAUGUGGGGGUUAUGCUUCUUCUUGGAGUUCACCCCCUGGUCAUUUGCCAGUUUUGUUGUCAACAAUGAGCCGACCUGUGAAUGGAUCCCUCAACCUCUCUGCUCAGGGGCCGCGACACUAACCACUCUGCCACCCUUACUGUCAAAAGAGUUUUCAAAGGCCUGUCAGAUGAGCAAGUGACCUAUAAGGAAAAUGCAUUUAUAUUGAAAUAAAAUGCUUUUUUUUCUUCUUCCAAAAGUAGCUAAUUCAAUACUUUAUAAGCAUGUAGGAUUAUUCCACUAACGACAUCUUGAACAAUGAGUAAAGAAGCGCAAACAACAUAAAUUAUUAGUUCACUUAAAGGCACACUACGUAACAUUUUGGAUUGUACAGUUUCCAUCAAUACAAAACAUGUUCCUAAUGACCAGCUCGACACAGACAAUGCUAUUUUUGCUGUGGGCAAUCAAAGAAUGGAUUUGGAGAAGGACUUAACCUAUUUAAAUCUCACAUUCGGCUGCCUUUAGUCGACAUGGAGAGGAGAGGUGAACCACUCGCAUGUUUAUAUAUUUAUUUAAAUAUAUUUUUCAACGAUAGAUGCAGACGCAGGAGGAAGAAAGUGUGUCUUAGAAAUUACCAUUCUCACUCUUUUUAGCCGUUUUCUGGCGAACUAUAAACAUAUUUAUCACACACCAAUGAAGUCAAGCCAAAAUCGGGUUCAUAUGAAUGUUUUUCACA
rnacentral:lncRNA from 1 species